rnacentral:misc_RNA from 1 species
GGAUUGAAAUCCAUAUGUGUGUGAAGGUAAAAGGAUGAAGAAGGCGACGGUGGGUGCGGUGGUGGUAGGUACAGCGGCGGCGGUAGCUGUGGCGGCGCUCGUCAUGCGCCACCGCAUGGGUAAAUCGAGCAAAUGGGCACGUGCCAGGGCAAUUCUGAAGGAAUUCGAGGAGAAAUGUGCCACCCCAGAUGCCAAGCUGAAGCAAGUGGCUGAUGCUAUGACGGUGGAGAUGCACGCCGGACUCGCCUCUGAAGGAGGCAGCAAGCUCAAGAUGCUUAUUAGC